rnacentral:rRNA from 1 species
AUAUGUCAGCGGCAGACGGGUGAGUAACGCGUGGGAACGUACCUUUUGGUUCGGAACAACACAGGGAAACUUGUGCUAAUACCGGAUAAGCCCUUACGGGGAAAGAUUUAUCGCCGAAAGAUCGGCCCGCGUCUGAUUAGCUAGUUGGUGAGGUAAUGGCUCACCAAGGCGACGAUCAGUAGCUGGUCUGAGAGGAUGAUCAGCCACAUUGGGACUGAGACACGGCCCAAACUCCUACGGGAGGCAGCAGUGGGGAAUAUUGGACAAUGGGCGCAAGCCUGAUCCAGCCAUGCCGCGUGAGUGAUGAAGGCCCUAGGGUUGUAAAGCUCUUUUGUGCGGGAAGAUAAUGACGGUACCGCAAGAAUAAGCCCCGGCUAACUUCGUGCCAGCAGCCGCGGUAAUACGAAGGGGGCUAGCGUUGCUCGGAAUCACUGGGCGUAAAGGGUGCGUAGGCGGGUCUUUAAGUCAGGGGUGAAAUCCUGGAGCUCAACUCCAGAACUGCCUUUGAUACUGAAGAUCUUGAGUUCGGGAGAGGUGAGUGGAACUGCGAGUGUAGAGGUGAAAUUCGUAGAUAUUCGCAAGAACACCAGUGGCGAAGGCGGCUCACUGGCCCGAUACUGACGCUG